rnacentral:misc_RNA from 1 species
UAAAAGGGAAAGGUAAACGAUUGAUCUAACAAGAUAUUAAAAGCAUAUGAUAUCAUGUCAAGUUUUGCAAUUAAAUAUCAACAAAUCCAGUGUAAUUGUACUCUGCACUUCCAAAUCUCAAGAACCUGUUAGAAAGACCUCUUCUACGGCUUUGAUCUUGCUGGGAAACCUCACCCUACAUAAAAGUUAGCAUUUCCACGUUGACACUGAACCACACACGUAAGAUAUGUCCAUGCUUCGAGUGGAAAUAUACACAAAUGACAUCUACGUCCAACAAUCUGCUGCAAACUAUAUGUGGUUAGACUUGUAGUAUGUAAAUUACUGGUCGGCUAAAAUGAAGGCUUGAAGCAAGCUCUGUGCUGCCCUGGUUUGAUCUGGUGUCCCUGAUAUAACCACCAUUCUCUCACUCUUGCUGGGAGAUGGAUCACGCACUUCAACUCUUGCACCUGAAAUCUGUCUUAAUCUAGCCAGAUUGUUGCCAUCAUCACCAUAAAUAGAACCAAGAAUAUCUUCAGAGACUAUCAGCUCCAAGGUUGUAUUUGCCACUAUAGCAGAUCUUUUUCGACGGCGCAAACUACUGUCAAGUUCUACACUCCCUCCAAAAGUUGUUGAGCCCCUUCCUGCAGUCUGUUGCAUAUGCAAUGCAGAUGAACGACUGCCAAUGUUGGAGAGUCCAGGUUGAUUUUUUUCUUUUGUUAAAAUAGUUUCUUGAAUGAGAUCAGAAGCUAGGUCUGAUGGUGAAUGUGAUUCAUGACAAGUAGUCUCUCUCACUCCACCAGGACUCCUUGCACCUACCUCUUUAAGCACCUCUUUGGGCAGAAACAAGUGAAGUGACCUUUCAAGUUCUGAAGACCCACCAGACAAAGUUGAGCUGUUUCCAUUAUUUUUAACAGUUGUUGCAUGCCUUUUUCCAAAUUUCUGUGGUGACCGCUGUCCCGACGAAGAGGCAUUGCCCAAGUUGUUGGAGAGUCCAAGCUGAUCCAUUCCUCCUUUCAAACUACAUUCUCGAUCAGAAUUAAGAGAUAGGCUUGGUUGCUGCAAUCUAGGAGAAGCAAUCUCCAUUACUCUUCCAUGGGGACUCCUUGUUCUCACUUCAUUGAGCAGCUCAGUACGAGAAAGAUUAUCCCUCAGUUUCCUAGUAACUAGAAACAGAGCAUUCUGUACAUUUUUAUACUCACCAGUGAUCUCUAUUACUACAUCAUUUUCUGAAGUACAAUCCAUGACAUGUUUCCCUUCUAAGAUCCGUAUAUCAGCUAAUUCUGUCAUUUCAGAAUCUAUCCCACCACCAUUCCCAAUCAGGCAACAAACAACAUCCGAUGCCACUAGGAGCCUUGCAGUUACAGUACUACCCUUAAUCAAGCCUGAUGAAUGCCCCUUUUCAAUGUCAUGCUCAAUAGAUCUAGCAAAGACAAGAAUAACAGCUUUUUGUGCAGGAGAGUACGAUGAUUCAAGGUUCUCAAAUGCAGAAAUGGUGACUACACGUGCACCAGACAGAGUUAUUGGAGCUGCAAACAUGAUAGAAGCACCUGUUUCAUUCUGUAGAGUUCUUACUAUGGUUCCUUUCUUGCCAAUUAUGCUCCCAGCUGCACCAUUGGAGCAAAGCAGCCUAAAUGAAACUUCUUGUCUUGUAGAUUUCACAUCCUGGUUGGGGUCUUCAUCAGCAUCUGAGGAUAAUGAAUGGGAAUUUGCAGAAUUUUCAAUCAAAGGUGGUAACAAUGAACUAAGAUGUGGGAAGAACUCUGCAUGCAGAUCAGAAGAGGAAAUGUGGGAAGCUCUCUCAACAGGUCUGUUCAAAAGCAUUGGUUCUUUGUUAUACGGCGGACAAUCGUGAAGACAUUCAGUUACAGCGACCAGUGCUUUCUUUACAGCCAAAAUAUCACCUGUAAUCUGAAUCAAUUCAUCGUCCUUCGCAGCGCAUUGUGGGGCCGGCAGGAUCCUAAUCUGGGCCCCGCUCUCUCUCCUCAUUCUCACGACAUUCUUCCCUCCUCUCCCUACUACGGCACCAAUCUGCGUCGUAUCGGCCAGAAGUCCACAAUAGCCCUCACUCACGCCCCUCUCACUAUCAUCAACCCGUCCGCUAUGAGCGCCAACCUCCCACAUCCUCUCACAAACCCUAAUCACCGCCUCCUGCGCUACCGACACGAGCUCCUUUUCAUCCUCAUCAUCACCCUCCAUUGACUUUAACGCGAUUCUCCUCCCGGGGGAUGCCGGCCCGAUUACCACGAUAACCCGGUGGUCCGAGCCUUGCACUAGCUCUUCGCAGCGGAUGGUACAGUCGGUGUCGCGUCGAAUUUGAGAGAUGAUGGAGCCGGAAGGACCGAUUAGGCCGCCGAUGAUGGAAACAUGGCAGAUGACUCGGAAUGCCACCUGGCCGGGUUGCAGCACGAUCGGCUGCGGGGGACGGGGGCGCCGCCUGGGACGGUGGCUGGAGAAUUGGUAGUCGCGGUGUUGCAUUAAUUAAACGGCGUCGUAUCCGAAGACUUGUAGUCGCUCCUCCCUGGAAAAGGAGGGUAUUCUUGCGUUUGGUUUCUCGGUACAGUUCAGACAAGCUGCAACUCCGUACAGUUGGGUAAUGAGCUCUGAAGCGUGGGAUUCGAAGUGUGAGUGAGAAAGACCGGGCC